GGUCGACGCGAGCAGAACGGCGGGGGCGGAGACGCCGCAUCCCCGGCGGGAGGAGGAGGAGGAGGAGCAAAUGAUGGUGGCGCAACCUUCUUCCUCCUCCCCUCACAUGUGGCAGCCAGUACGGGCUCAGGCAGCAGCCCAAGACGCGCCGCCACGCCACGCCGACGGCUUAGCGCGCGAGGCCGUCCGUCCGGGUGGAGCGAGAGCUUCUCGAAGCGCUGAUGUUUGUCGUCCAGAGAAGCUGGCCACUGGUGUCUGACAAGGCGAGAUCGGAUCCGCUUGUGAAGGCGAGCGUUGCAGAAGAAGGAUCAGUUAUCGGCAUAGCACGGGAGAAGAAUCCAAGGGCAAAAGUGCCAUCGUCGGAGGUGAUGGUGCUACCAGCGGAAAGCGGCUUGUCGGGAAGAAGGCGGCUGCUGGAUGAUGCAUAAAAUGGCAAUAAACAAAAUGACCAACAA